rnacentral:tRNA from 1 species
UGGAGUGGUAAGCAUAAUUUGGUACUGCAGCGGUUUACUAAACCGUUACUCACUAGUUGAGUUGCUGGUUCAAGUCCAGCUCACUCCGU